UUUCAAGGAACGCAGACUAAUAGCGCCACGUCCUGAGACAAUGUCUGCAUGACCCGCAUCCUGCGGU
rnacentral:sRNA from 2 species